rnacentral:lncRNA from 1 species
AGGAGAAGCCCAAGCUCUAUUUUCCUUUUUCUUUGCGUGUCCAUAUGUUGCCUUGGAGACGCGGCAACAUCACCUAGACGAACCCCAUCCCGUGGGGCUCCGGGGCUACAGUCACGUUAGCCGGAGCGGCGAUUUUGGGAGUUCAAGUCAUGUGCUUAUCUACGGUAACGACGCUCACGCAUGCCUAAUACGGUGAUGACGACGCGGAUCCUAGAGCCGUGUCCUGAGAUCCUGGUCGUUGGUUGGGGAGGGUACGUGCCGUUGCGCUUACAUGAUCCGCACUGCCGAUCCCAGGCGCUGCAGAUGGGACCGCC